rnacentral:rRNA from 1 species
AUUGAACGCUGGCGGCAGGCCUAACACAUGCAAGUCGAGCGGAGAGGCGGACGGGUGCGUAAUGCCUAGGAAUCUGCCUGGUCGUGGGGGAUCACGUCCGGAACCGGGCGCUAAUACAGCAUACUAUCAGCUGAGCUUAGGUCGGCUUCGCUAGUUGGUGGGGUAAAGGCCUACCAAGGCGACGACGCGUAACUGGUCUGAGAGGGUGAUCAGACACACUGGAACGGAGACACGGUCCAGACUCCUACGGGAGGCAGCAGUGGGAAAUAUUGGACAAUGGGCGAAAGCCUGAUCCAGCCAUGCCGCGUGUGUGAAGAAGGUCUUCGGAUGGUAAAGCACUUUAAGUUGGGAGGCGUUACCAACAGAAUAAGCACCGGCUAACUUCGUGCCAGCAGCCGCGGUAAUUC